CGAAAUAGUCUGUGCUAAGCACACACAAAUAGAGAGAUGUAGAGGAAACGGCUCACAAAAACAGAAAUGGAGCUGAUUCAAAGGGGGUGUGGCAGAUUUAAAAACUCUUCUGCAGUAGGAUACACAUGAGGAUCCUUGAUGAAAGGUCACGGAGCAAAGAGGACGGAGGACUGUCUUUUGCCGAAACGAGAAUCUCCCAGUGACUUGGGACUGUCAUGGAUGUGUGCACUAUACCAGCCUUUCUCAAAUCUCUCCCCAGGAAACUACAGCCAUUCCACAUGUUUGAUGUAUUCCAGAGAUAGGACACCUGAUUCAACUUGUCAGCUAAGCAUCAAGCCCUUAUGUAAUGAAUCAGGGGAACUAGUUCAGAGCUACAAGAAAAUAGUGAAACACCUGGGAGUCCCGGAGGAGACGUUGGAGAAGCACUGCACUAUUACUACAACAGUGCGUGUGAAGUGCACUAAUCAGGAGUUGACUGCAUAACCUAUACAUUAUUUAUACAUGUAGGCAUUUAUGGAUUUCACAGGUGGCCCUUUAGUUGGGGAGGACAGUAAUGUCUGAACGGAAUAGAUGGUGUGGUAUCAAACAUAUGGUUUCACUGUGUUUGAUACCAUUCCAUUGACUCCAUUCCAGACAUUAUUGUGAGCCAUCCUCCGCUCAGCAGCCUCCAGUGGUGUAUUUGACUUACUCAUGAGACUACAGCAGUCUUCGUACUGCUCCACCGGUUACUGAGCAGCCAGGUAGUGGAGGUACUCCCUCUCUGAACUCUCUCCAGGGGACAGAGUCAAGCCCGCUGCCCAGGACAAGAUGCCCUCAGCCAGCCGCUGCUGCUCCAGAGUCCUGCGGUCGUAUUCAUUACCAGUCUCUGUCACCACACAGUCCACUUUUAAGCAGUCUGCAUAUGGGUUCACUUCUAUGCGAUGCCAUUCUACACACAUACCUGUGCUGAUGGUUGAGUGGUCUGAGCUGGUGUUGGCCGUAUUAUUUCCAUAGGGGGUCUCUGCCCUCCUAGAGGAUGCUUCUCAAGAAUAGCCUGGGGGUUUAGAUAACUAGUGUAUCUAAUAGUAAUGUAUCCUCAUCAUCAGCCACCACCAUCAUCACCAUCUUUAACAGGAUUCUUAUAGCCCC